GUUCGCUCCGGUUACUAUUUUUCACGUUUUUUAAGCGCGAAUAAUGUUUAAAUUUAAAAUCAAAUUCGAGAAAAGGGUGUGGCCCGUUAUGAUCUUCGAUGACGUCCUAGAGAAACGUGCAAAAACAACGAAAAAGGGUGACGCGUUGCGGAAAUCAAGUACCGACCCCAACACGGCGUUCUUAAGGGCAGCUCGAGCAGGGCAGCUAGACAAAAUACAAGAGUAUUUGGAUUCAGGGACAGUUCGCGACAUCAACACAUCAAAUGCCAACGGUUUGAAUGCCCUCCAUCUCGCCGCCAAAGAUGGCCACGUCGAAAUCGCUAGGGAAUUGCUCAGAAGGGGUGCGAUCGUCGACGCCGCCACCAAAAAGGGUAACACGUCACUCCACAUUGCAUCGCUCGCCGGACAGGAGGAGGUGGUUCGGUUGCUGGUGCAAAACGGAGCAUCGCUCAACGUCCAGUCUCAAAACGGGUUCACGCCCCUGUAUAUGGCCGCCCAGGAGAACCACGACACUGUCGUACGGUACCUCUUGUCCAAGGGUGCCAACCAGACGCUCGCCACAGAGGACGGUUUCACCCCGUUGGCGGUUGCGAUGCAACAAGGUCACGACAAGGUCGUCGCAGUGCUUCUGGAAAACGACACGCGGGGCAAAGUGCGGUUACCCGCUCUUCACAUAGCCGCCAAAAAGGACGACGUCAAAGCCGCGGCCCUCCUGCUCCAGAACGACCAUAACCCAGACGUCACAUCCAAGAGCGGGUUCACGCCCCUCCACAUCGCCGCCCACUACGGCAACGAUAAGGUCGCCUCAUUGCUCUAUGAGAAAGGUGCAAACGUUAAUUACACCGCGAAACACAACAUCACACCGCUCCACGUGGCGAGCAAAUGGGGCAAGAUAAAUAUGGUGACGCUACUGGUGGCGAAAGGGGCCGAUAUUCAAGCGAAAACGAGGGACGGCUUGACGCCCCUUCAUUGCGCUGCUCGCAGCGGACACGAUCAGGUGGUCGAUAUGCUGCUUGAAAACGGGGCACCCAUUCACGCCAAAACAAAGAAUGGAUUGGCGCCGUUGCACAUGGCGGCCCAAGGCGAGCACGUAGACGCCGCCCGGAUACUCCUCUACCACGGCGCUCCAGUAGACGAGGUCACCGUCGACUACUUGACCGCGCUCCACGUGGCCGCUCAUUGCGGCCACGUGCGAGUAGCCAAGCUUCUUUUGGAGAGGGGGGCGGACGUUAAUGCUCGCGCACUUAAUGGCUUCACACCGUUACACAUAGCGUGCAAAAAGAACCGCCUGAAGAUGGUGGAGUUGUUGAUCAAGCACGGCGCCAGCAUCGGCGCAACGACUGAAAGCGGUCUCACACCUCUUCACGUGGCCAGUUUUAUGGGGUGCAUGAACAUCGUCAUCUAUUUGCUCCAGCACGACGCCAGCCCGGACAUACCCACGGUCCGCGGUGAAACUCCGCUCCAUUUGGCAGCGAGAGCGAACCAGACUGAUAUUAUAAGAAUACUCCUUCGAAAUGGCGCUUCGGUGGACGCGAAAGCGCGGGAAGAGCAGACGCCCCUCCACGUCGCCUCACGGCUGGGAAACGUCGACAUCGUGAUGCUGCUCCUGCAGCACGGCGCCCAGCCUCAGGCCACGACCAAAGACCUUUACACGCCCCUCCACAUCGCCGCCAAAGAGGGACAAGAGGAGGUAGCUUCUGUAUUAUUGGACAACGGCGCAGACCUUACCGCCACCACCAAAAAGGGUUUCACGCCCCUCCACUUGGCCGCUAAAUACGGGCAUCUCAACGUUGCGCGGUUGCUGUUGCAACGGGACGCGCCGGCCAACGCGCAAGGCAAAAACGGCGUGACUCCCCUCCACGUCGCCGCUCAUUACGACCAUCAGCCGGUGGCGUUGUUGCUGCUCGAUAAAGGGGCGUCGCCGCACGCGGCCGCCAAAAACGGGCACACCCCUUUGCAUAUCGCCGCUCGCAAGAACCAGAUGGACAUUGCGACUACCCUGUUGGAGUACGGGGCUCAAGCCGACGCCGAAUCGAAGGCAGGCUUCACGCCACUUCACUUAGGCGCGCAGGAGGGCCACUCGGACAUGUGUUCGUUGCUGCUCGAGCAUCAGGCGGCUGCCAAUCACGCGGCAAAGAACGGUCUCACUCCGCUCCAUUUGUGCGCCCAAGAAGACCAAUCGGCCGUUGCUCAGCUGCUUCUGAGAGGGGGUGCUCAGAAGAACGCGCAAACGAAAAGCGGCUACACGCCACUGCACAUAGCCUGCCACCACGGCCACGUCAAUAUGGUGCGUUUGCUUAUAGAACAUGGCGCCGAAAUUAAUCCGGCUACUGGCGAAGGGUACACACCGCUGCACCAGGCCGCCCAGCAAGGUCACGUGCUCAUUAUCAAUCUGCUACUGAGGAACAAAGCCGAUCCGAACGCGGUCGCAAACAACGGGCAAACCGCAUUGGGGAUCGCCAACAAACUCGGCUACAUCAGCGUGGUGGAAGAGCUGAAGGUGGUUACCGAGCUCACGGUGAAUACGACCAACACCGUGACCGUCGAGGAGAAGUAUAAAGUGGUGGCGCCAGAAGCGAUGCACGAGACCUUUAUGUCUGACUCGGAGGACGAAGGAGGCGGAGCUGAUGAACCGCCGGUGGCUUACGGCCGGCCGACGCAUGCGCAACACGUCUAUCUGCCUUUCUACCAGGGACAAAUGACAUACACACGUGACGAUCCGCUCCAAGGAGACCAGCAGCAGUACAAAUACAUGACGGUCGACGACAUGAAGAGCCUGGGCGACGACUCCAUGCGCAUGGACGUCACGCACGACGAGAAGAGCGAACACAACAGGCACUCGAUGGCGACGUCGCAUGUGAGCAACGAGUUGAUAAUCGUGCCGAUCCACCAAGCCAAAGACUACAGCUCGGCGCCUGACAACGUGGACAUCAACAGACAGCCCGUGACGGCCGGCUUGUACGCUGCGGAGUCGUUGCGCCUAGAACAAACUCUGAACCGUUUGUGCCCGCGGAGCCGAAGGAGCGGCCUAUGCAGAGAAAGUAUCCCCAGUUGGAAAAAUUUCCUGGUGUCGUUCCUGGUCGACGCGAGAGGAGGCGCGAUGCGCGGUUGCCGUCACUCGGGGGUGCGCGUCAUCGUGCCGCCGAGAUGCGCGGCUAGUCCCACUCGUAUCACGUGCCGUUACGUGCGGCCCCAGCGUCAACCGCAUCCGCCGCCGCUUAUGGAAGGCGAAGCCUUAGCCAGCAGGCUGCUCGAACUUGGACCCGUCGGUGCAAAAUUUUUGGGGCCGGUGAUCAUAGAAGUACCCCAUUUCGCAUCGCUGCGUGGAAAGCAGCGCGAGAUUAUAGUGCUACGUUCGGACAAUGGCGAAACAUGGAAAGAGCACACCCUGGAGGCGAACGAGGAGGCGAUCCAGGACGUUCUGAAUCACAGUUUCGACGGCGAAGAGCUAAACCAACUGGAAGAUUUGCACACGAGCCGCAUCACCAGAAUACUGACCAACGACUUCCCUCACUACUUCGCGGUGGUCUCCAGGAUUCGGCAGGAAGUGCACGCGAUCGGGCCCGACGGCGGUACCGUCUCCAGUACUGCGGUACCUUUGGUUCAGGCCGUGUUCCCGCCGAACGCGUUAACCAAAAAAAUUCGGGUUGGUUUGCAGGCUCAGGGUAUCGAACCGGAAAUCGUGUCCAAACUCCUAGGCCACGGAGUGGCGGUGUCCCCUAUCGUGACGGUGGAACCGAGACGCAGGAAGUUCCACAAGGCGAUCAUGUUGAGCAUGCCGGCACCGAAGGCCCACUCGCAGGGAAUGAUCAAUCAGUACCAGGGCGUUUCCAGCACCACUUUGCGGUUGCUGUGCUCCAUUACGGGGGGCCAAAGUAAAGCCGUGUGGGAGGACGUCACGGGGUCCACGCCCCUCACGUUCGUCAAGGAUUGCGUUUCUUUCACGACCACCGUGUCGGCCCGUUUCUGGCUGAUGGACUGUAGGAACGUCGGCGACGCCGCCAAAAUGGCGACCGAACUGUACAACCAGGCGGCGCACGUGCCGUUUAUGGCCAAGUUUGUCGUAUUCGCGAAACGGAUCAGUCCAUUCGAGGCCCGCGUCAGGGUGUUUUGUAUGACGGACGACAAGGAGGAUAAAACGUUGGAGCACCAAGAGCACUUUGUCGAAAUCGCCAAGAGUAGGGAUAUUGAGGUUCUUGAAGGCAAAGACGUGUUCAUGGAGUUCGCCGGCAACUUGGUGCCCGUGCUGCAGUCCAACGACCAACCGACGUUAGGCUUUAAAGCGUUCAAAGAGAACAGAUGCGCGUUCAUUAUGAGACUCAGGGAUCAUGACGAAGAGCCCGCGGGAAGGAUCGUUUUCAUGGCGGAUCCGAAAGUGGGACGUGCUGGCUGGGUUCCGAGUCAGCCUCUGUGCACGUUGAAUCUGACAUUGCCCAAAGACCUGUUGCCCGAUCGCGACUCUCAAUCCGAUCUCUUAUCUCUAAACAAAGACUUUAGUUAUCUGCAGCAUGGCGGCAUCAGUAAACCGGACACUAUACACCGCGCGGAUCUGAGACUGUCCGACAUUUGUAAUUUGCUCGACGACGACUGGGAAAAAUUGGCUCUGGAGCUCGACGUGCCGCCCUCCGACGUCGAUAUCAUUAAAGAGGAGAGUACGGCCAAUCAUCCUCAGCGGGCGAUGAUCAUGUUCCGCCUUUGGCUACGUCAGAAGGCCAACAAAGCCACAGGUAAUAAACUGGAACUAGCGCUGAACAAAAUCGGCCGCCAAGAUAUAGUCGACAAGUGCUUGUGCAACGUGGAGCUAGUGACGGACGAUAUGGAAAAGGCGCUGGCUAAAAUCCACCUCGAUCAAUCGGGAUUUGAUAAUCUCAAGGAGGAACUGGGUCCGUCGCGGGACACCUCGUUGAGGCGGGACGCGCAUUUAGACAACUCUUAUUUGGAAAGCGACAACGAUAAAAGCGAACUAGACUUAAACAAGAACAGGGAGCCGACGCGCGCCGACGAAAUCCUUGACAACCAGUCCAGGCUUAACGGAAACGCGAACGAGGAGGAGAGGGCGCUGGUAGAAAUAACGCAGCGACUGAACACAUUGGCGACGAACGCUGACCGCGUGAACAGUUUCGGCGACACGCCUCCUCCCAGCCCGACGGGCCCGGGCAACGAUAACGAACAGCCGCUGGCCGAAAUAGAACGACCCAAAGGAAACUCUGGCGGUGGAGGAGAGGUCUUCGCUUCUACUCCCUUAAAGAGCAGGGAGAUCCAGCCGACCGCGGAGCGUAUCGAAAAUCUGAAGCGAAACAUCAACGACACGUUGACGUUUCUGCAUCAGGAGCGUAACGAUUUUCUCUCCGAGGACGACGUCAUAAUACCGAAGCGCAAAGACGAUCACAUCGCUAAGGAAAUCGACCUCGAGUACAUAAACCUGAAAACGCCAAAGAGAAACGUCGAAUUUAAUUUCGACGCGGUGGCGCCCCCUAGCCCGGAAAAAUCGAAAAUUAGAUUCGAGGGGGACGUCGAUCUCGAGCGAGAGUCCCCGCCCAGCACCGAGUACGACGAUUCCUUUAGGGACACGGUCGAAGAAGAGGUCGAUCGGGUGAUUAAAAAGGCGGAGGACGUGGUGAACGCGCGGAUCGAUGUCGACAGCGUCGGCGACGAACCCAAAACUAACACCGAGGAUUCGCUCGAUAAUUUGGAGUCGCUGAAGGACGAUUCGAUUUCGAUAAUUCAGGAGAAAAGCGAGGAAGCCUUUCGGUUCCUGGACAAGGAGGCGUCCAGCCCCUUGACGCUGCGCCCGAGUUUGGAGGAGACGUUGGCCAGGGCAGACGCGGAGGAUCGGAAAGGCGAAUUCGAGACUACCGCGGCGUUUUUAAAGGGGGAGGUCGAGCAUGCGCGGCGAGUCGUUGACGACGAUUCGAGCAGGUCCGAGGAGUCGUGGUCGCCUAAAAGUCCGAGGAGUUCGAUUCCGGUAGCCAAGGCCCGGAAGGGCAAGGACAAGAAGAAGAAGCAAGAGAAACCGCAGGACUCUGAGGAACCGACGCCCCGCGCGCGGGAUCGUAAAUCUCCAGUCGACGACGACGGCGACGACGACGAAGACGAAGAUGUUCUGAAGAAAAUACCGGUGGUAAAGGGCGGAACCAAAGUGAAAACGAUAAAAAAGCACUCGAAAGACCCUCUCAAAGAGUUCGUCAACAUUUCCAAGGACGUGAACUGGGACGAGGACGACGACGAGACGGUGACGACGAAAAUCAUAAAGACGGUCACAGCCGAUCCGAUUGUUAAGACGACGGUGACGCGCAUCUCGAGCGACGCACUUCCCGAACACAUCAAAAGUAAAAUACCGAAAUUGUCGUCGGCGCCGUCGCCACACAAGGAACUCGACUGCGCCGACGACGGCGCUAUCCACAAAAGUAAAAUUCCGGUACUGAAGACCGAGAGCGUUCUGAUAACGUCGCCGACAGAGGCGCUUGUAUCGCCCACUUCCCGGACGUCGAACAAGAGUAGCUUGUUGGAUUCAGAUUCGGAGGAGGAUAGCAGGAGGAGUUCGCCCCCCUUAAAGGGGAUCCUGAAGAAGACGUCGGCGCCGGCGCCGACUAAAACGGUCGGCAGUUCGAGUGGUUCAGACGUCGCUCUCCACGAGGAGGGCGCGGAGCUGAGCUCAGAUUCAGAUGCUAGAGAAUUAAUGCAUUAAUAUACAGUCCUGCUCUUUAUCCUGUGUUACUCACGAAUUAACCAUAUUAAAUUGACAUUAACUUACCAAAUUCUAACUUACUGACCGCGUACACCUAGUUUAAAACCACUAACUUUCUAAAUCUUAUCGAAUUUCGACCAAAGUAGUUACUAUUACUCUCCAUGCGCAGACGACGUGUAACUUAAUGUUAAUUUGGAUGGUUGCGUUUAUCGAUUUACCAGCGACUUACGAUGCAUUUUUAACCGAAAGUUGAUCGACCGGCCGAAAAAAACUACUUAGGCAGCUCCUGGCAUGUCCUUUAUCCCAUAGUGUGGUCGUUAAUAGCAUUGGCAACAAGCAUGAUCGUGUUGGCACUGCUCGCACAAUAUUGACUCACGGUAUGCAAUCUGCGCAAUGUUUUUAUUUAUUUACACACUUAUGCGGACAGAUCAGACACACAUAUACACAACUACACGCCAUUUUGACGAUUUGCAUGAUACCCAAGCCAAGAAGAUUGUUAUCUUUAAAAAAAAAUUACGAACCCACGGACCCGAUUAGUAGUGAUCUUUGAUCCAGAUCGCUAAUUACUAGUGACCCCUCUCCUUUUUUAAGCCCCGCUCUCUUUUAAACUCUGUUCAACCGAAGUAAUUCCUACCAUGAGAGAAUGAAUCUGGUGCAGGACUUCCCGGUUGUACGAGAUGUUUGAAAACCAAAUAUAUUUGAAUAAAUUUAGAACGUUGAUUAUAUUAUGCCAGCCUAGCAUUGAGAGCGGCUGUGUAUGUCCAACAUCCUGUUUAAUUUAUAAUUAUUUGUUUUCGGUUUUUUAAUUUUAUUUUUUGACUUUUGAUUUUUCCCGUUUUUUUCAGUGAUUUUGCACCAUUAUUAUAGUUUAUGUAAGUAAACAUGUAGGUGUGACGUCGUCCUCUUGGCGGACGCGUUGCGUCCUCGAUCAGUUUUCACUUUGAAGAUUUUACGCACAGAUUAAAAGCGGCUAUAUUAAAAUGAGGCAUGAAAAUUGAAUUCAAAAUCGCUUAGUAAUUAAUUUUGGUAGUUGACCAGGAUACUAAACACGUAACACCUCUACCACCGCAUUCGAACGAUCUGUAUGCAAAGAACGCGGUGUUCAUUUUCCUCUUCUACGGCUUUGCGUUGUUCUUUGUCUAUUUGUUUUUCAUUAUUAGCUGCUUUUUAAGCUUCCCGUAGUUCUUUUCGUACAGACUAAGUCGUGGGGCGGCGAAAACAUCCGAGUUAGCCGAAAAACGCUGCAUGUUAUCCCCUUUCCGUGACUAACAGUUUAAUUUUGAAACGAUUUCGAAUGUUUUUCACCUAAUUCGGAUUCGCCCCAGCUUACGGGACGCGAGCCCAUUUAGUUCAGUCCGGUUUUUCACGCUUUCCAGAAGAUUUUUACCAUCAGGAACCACAGUUCACCGAGAUGACGUUCGAAGAAAUCGACCCUGCCACCGGAAACAAGGUAACGAAGACGGUGCGAACGCUGGUGUCUCACUCUCUGGCGUCGCCGGUCUACAAUGAAUCGGAACUUCGCCAG